rnacentral:rRNA from 1 species
GCAAGGGGAGUGGCAGACGGGUGAGUAACACGUGGGAACGUGCCCUUUGGUUCGGGACAACUCCGGGAAACUGGAGCUAAUACCGGAUGAGCCCUUCGGGGGAAAGAUUUAUCGCCAAAGGAUCGGCCCGCGUCUGAUUAGCUAGUUGGCGGGGUAAUGGCCCACCAAGGCGACGAUCAGUAGCUGGUCUGAGAGGAUGGCCAGCCACACUGGGACUGAGACACGGCCCAGACUCCUACGGGAGGCAGCAGUGGGGAAUAUUGGACAAUGGGCGCAAGCCUGAUCCAGCCAUGCCGCGUGAGUGAUGAAGGCCUUAGGG